rnacentral:rRNA from 1 species
AGCGAACGCUGGCGGCAGGCUUAACACAUGCAAGUCGAACGCCCCGCAAGGGGAGUGGCAGACGGGUGAGUAACACGUGGGAACGUACCCUUUGGUUCGGAAUAACUUGGGGAAACUCAAGCUAAUACCGGAUAAGCCCUUAUGGGGAAAGGUUUACUGCAGAAGGAUCGGCCCGCGUCUGAUUAGCUAGUUGGUGAGGUAAUGGCGCACCAAGGCGACGAUCAGUAGCUGGUCUGAGAGGAUGAUCAGCCACACGGGGACUGAGACACGGCCCAGACUCCUACGGGAGGCAGCAGUGAGGAAUAUUGGACAAUGGGGGCAACCCUGAUCCAGCCAUGACGCGUGAGUGAUGAAGGCCUUAGGGUUGUAAAGCUCUUUUACCCGGGACGAUAAUGACUGUACCGGGAGAAUAAGCCCCGGCUAACUUCGUGCCAGCCGCCGCCGUAA